rnacentral:rRNA from 1 species
UACGUAUGGUGCAAGCGUUAUCCGGAUUUACUGGGUGUAAAGGGAGCGUAGGCGGCGCGUUAAGUCUGAUGUGAAAACCCGAGGCUCAACCACGGGAGUGCAUUGGAAACUGGCGGGCUGGAGUGCCGGAGAGGUAAGCGGAAUUCCUAGUGUAGCGGUGAAAUGCGUAGAUAUUAAGAGGAACAUCAGUGGCGAAGGCGGCUUACUGGACGGCAACUGACGCUGAGGCUCGAAAGCGUGGGGAGCAAACAGG